rnacentral:lncRNA from 1 species
GAGCUCCGUCCUGCUCCCAUGGCCGCCCCCGGCUCCCGGUGCUGCCCCCUCUGCCCCGGGCCGCGCCCGGGGGUCCCGCACUGACGGCCCAUGGCGCCGCCCGCCGCCCGUCUCGCGCUGCUCUCCGCCGCUGCGCUCACUCUGGCGGCCCGGCCCGCGCCCGGUCCCCGCUCCGGCCCCGGUGAGUGAGACCCCGGCCCCCCCCCGAACCCCCUCGCCCUCUCUCGCGCGUGGACCCCGGAGAACCCGAUGUUCGGGCUUCUGUCCCAGCACGCGGCGUGGACGCGCCUGUCCCGCGUUACCAGGACUCUGCCCCGAGUGCCGGCUUCUAACUUUGCCGAACUCUGCUUCCGACUUACGGAAGAGAAGGGGGUGCGUGACGGCUAAAGUCGCCCGUACCGAGUGCAGACUACUCUGAGUCCACCGCGGCGUCCGCCCGAGGUGGUGCUCUCGGCCAGGAUGGAAGCUGGGAUGGCAGCUUAGUUCCCACACGCCCUUCCUUGCCUCGGAAUCCUUUCCCAGUGGAAGGACAAGCAUGAGGGUGUUGUCUGGCCCAGUUCGGUUUCUUUGCAGGUUGUUGAGAGCUGAUGAGCAUAGGACAUUGGUGAACCUGCCACUGGGGUCUCCACCCUAAGUUGCGGAUUGUGAUGUUGCGAAGGCAGGGUUUUACUAGUAAAAGAAAACUCAGAGUUGCUUUGUUUUCUUGACAGCUUGGAUUUAGGGGAAAGGCUGAGAUUUAUUUUCUGUGUGAUUUUGAGGCAAAGCUGCUUGAACCUCUGUUACUUGAUCUGAAAGUGGGGGGGGGUAACUCACUCCCAUGAGCAGUGUUGGUGAACAUUAAAUGAUACACUGUAGGCAACUUGCUUAGAGUGUUCCACCAUGUGUAGUCAUUAAACGAUUUAAUAAUACUUAUUAUAGUGUUUCCCAGUUCACUAAGGACUAGACACCUGGUUUACCCAGCGAAUACUGAAUUUCUUUCAGGAUGAAUCCCGGCAAAAGGCAAAGCUGGGUUUUGGGACGGCAGAAUGAGGAGUUCCCAACACACCAAACCUGAGACUCAGUAGAAGUGGUUUCUAGGUGAUUGCUGCCUUCUAUGGGACUUCUAUAAUGUGCUCUUUUCUACUGUUUGUAGUAUGUGAACAGGGAGGGAGGGAGGGACGUUCCGAGAGCCAGGACGUGUCAACAUAACUGUAACCUAGUAACUCCUUCCACUUUGUCAUCUUUGUGUUCAGGAUUUAAUGUCCUCUAUGGAGAGAGAGGUACGGGUGGGAGUGGACUGGCGCUCCUUCCUGGAAAGGGCACUGUGAGCCUAUUCUGCCCACACUUGCAGGGAGGUAGCAUCUGUUAGGCACCGACGCUUUGCUAGGUCAGAUGCAACAGCUCUUGGGUAAAGUUGGUAUGCUUUUAUUUAGGAGUCCUGGGUAAGGACAAAUUUAUGGCUGUUGUGAAACAGUUUACUAGGUCCCUCAAACUCUCCUCAGCGGGGUUCCUCAGCAUUCUGCAACAUCAGUGCCUUUGUGAUGUUUCCCCUCUGGUUCCAGAAGCAGUUUCAGAAACAAACCACAUGGUUUUCAGCAUCAUAUCCUGUCAAGAACCUAGCGACUAGUUUGUUAAAUCCUUUCCAAUU